GAUCCCGGCACUACAGUCCCGGCGCAACCACCCGCACUCAGAUUCUCCCCAAACGCCAAGGAUGGGGGUCAUGGCUCCCCGAACCCUCCUCCUGCUGCUCUUGGGGGCCCUGGCCCUGACCGAGACCUGGGCCGCGACUCCGUGAGUCCGAGGAUGGAGCGGCGGGCGCCGUGGGUGGAGCAGGAGGGGCUGGAGUAUUGGGACCAGGAGACACGGAACGCCAAGGGCCACGCGCAGAUUUACCGAGUGAACCUGCGGACCCUGCUCCGCUAUUACAACCAGAGCGAGGCCGGUAUGAACAGUUCGCCUACGAUGGCAAGGAUUACAUCGCCCUGAACGAGGACCUGCACUCCUGGACCGCCGCGAACACAGCGGCUCAGAUCUCCCAGCACAAGUGGGAAGCGGACAAAUACUCAGAGCAGGUCAGGGCCUACCUGAGGGCAAGUGCAUGGAGUGGCUCCGCAGACACCUGGAGAACGGGAAGGAGACGCUGCAGCACGCGGAUCCCCCAAAGGCACAUGUGACCCAGCACCCCAUCUCUGACCAUGAGGCCACCCUGAGGUGCUGGGCCCUGGGCCUCUACCCUGCGGAGAUCACACUGACCUGGCAGCAGGAUGGGGAGGACCAGACCCAGGACACGGAGCUUGUGGAGACCAGGCCUGCAGGGGACGGAACCUUCCAGAAGUGGGUGGCUGUAGUGGUGCCUUCCGGAGAGGAGCAGAGAUACAUGUGCCAUGUGCAGCAUGAGGGGCUGCCAGAGCCCCUCACCCUGAGAUGGGAGCCGUCUUCUCAGCCCACCAUCCCCAUCGUGGGCAUCGUUGCUGGCCUGUUUCUCCUUGGAGCUGUGGUCACUGGAGCUGUGGUUGCUGCUGCGAUGUGGAGGAAGAAAAGCUCAGGCAGCAAUUGUGCUCAGUACUCUGAUGCAUCUCAUGAUACUUGUAAAGGAGGCUAUGAAUCCAAGAUCAAGGCACUGGCUAAUGGUGAGAGCCAUCUUGCUGCAUCAUCACAUGGCUGAAGGUAGAAGGGCAAGUAAAGUACAGAGAACACACUCCUGGAAGCCCUUUUAUAAAGGCAUUAAAACCACCCCCAAGGGUGGAACCCUCAUGGUCCAAUCACCUCUCAAAAGUCUCACCUCCUAAUAAUGUUACAAUAGCAAUUAAAUUUCAAUAUGCAGCUGGGUGCAGUGGCUCACUCCUGUAAUCCCAGCACUUUGGGAGGCUGAGGUGGGAGGACUGCUUGAGUCCAGGAGUUCAAGACCAGCCUGGGCAACAUAGUGAGACCCCAUCUCUACAAAUAUAUAUAUACUUCAACCCAUGUUGAAAUAUAAAUGGGUUGAAACAACAUGGGUUUUGGAGGGGACAAAAAUUCAAACCAUAGCAAUAUGGUGUGUAUGUAUACACACACACACAAAAUGGAAUAAUAGCCACAGAAAAAGGAAGUACUGACAUUUGCAACAACAUGGAUGAACCUGGAGGAUAUUAUAUUAAAUGAAAUAAGCCAGACACAGAAAGACAAAUAUUAUAUAACCUCAUAUUUGCAAUCUAAAACAAGUGAAACUCCUAGAAACAGAGGUAGAACGGUGGUUACCAGGGGCUUGAGUGGGAGAAAUGGGGAGAUGUUGGUCAAAGGGUGCAAAUUCUCAGUUAUAUAAUGAACAAGUUCUAGAAAUCUAAUGUUCAGUAUGGGCAGUAAUGGAUUUGUUAAUUUGGUUGCAAUAAUAAUCAUACAAUGUAUAUGUGUAUUAAAUUAUCAUGAUGUAUGCCAUGCACAACUUUGUCAAUUAAAUGUUUUUUAAAUAUGAAA
ensembl:lncRNA HLA-L major histocompatibility complex, class I, L (pseudogene)